rnacentral:tmRNA from 1 species
GGGGCUGAUUCUGGAUUCGACGGGAUUUGCGAAACCCAAGGUGCAUGCCGAGGGGCGGUUGGCCUCGUAAAAAGCCGCAAAAAAUAGUCGCAAACGACGAAAACUACGCUUUAGCAGCUUAAUAACCUGCUUAGAGCCCUCUCUCCCUAGCCUCCGCUCUUAGGACGGGGAUCAAGAGAGGUCAAACCCAAAAGAGAUCGCGUGGAAGCCCUGCCUGGGGUUGAAGCGUUAAAACUUUAUCAGGCUAGUUUGUUAGUGGCGUGUCCGUCCGCAGCUGGCAAGCGAAUGUAAAGACUGACUAAGCAUGUAGUACCGAGGAUGUAGGAAUUUCGGACGCGGGUUCAACUCCCGCCAGCUCCACCA